AACGCGAAGAACCUUACCAGGGAUAGACAGGGAAAGAACUUUCUAGAAAUAGAUCGGUGCCCGAAAGGGAACUUUCCGUCAGGUGGUGCAUGGCUGUCGUCAGCUCGUGCCGUGAGGUGUAUAGUUAAGUCUAGCAACGAGCGCAACCCUCGUCUCUAGUUACUCAAUUUGAGAAAACUCUGGAGAGACUGCCGGUGCAAGCCGGAGGAAGGAGAGGAUGACGUCAAGUCAGCAUGCCCCUUACAUCCUGGGCUACACACGUAAUACAAUGGUUGAGACAAUCGGAAGCAAUCUCGUGAGAGUGAGCGAAUCUGCUAAACUCAGCCUCAGUUCGGAUUGUAGGCUGCAACUCGCCUGCAUGAAGGUGGAAUCGCUAGUAAUCGCUGGUCAGCUACACAGCGGUGAAUUCGUUCCCGGGUCUUGUACACACCG
rnacentral:rRNA from 1 species